CCCGAGCGCCCCUGGGGCUCCCAGACAAAGGGCGGCGCGACGCGCUGGGGCCCGCGCCCUGCCCGCAAACCCGCAAGAGUCCCCAGAGCCAACCACUUCUGCAGCCUGAACCCUAAGAGAGAGCCCGCCGGGGGUCCCAACGUGCUCAGAUGAGUACUGCAGGUGAGAAAUGAAAAUAGUAAUGCGGCUUUCCCAUCAAGCACAACCAACAGCACAGAAGGACUGUCCAUGUGAUGCCAAGAGAAGUCAGUUGUUAGGUGGGACUUCUAGAAUGGCCCCUUGGCCGUUGUUCCUUUCCUUCAGACUGAAGCACAGUGC